GCGAGUAAAAUGGAGGCAAAUUUAAACAACAAAUUUCAACCCAUUUCAUAAUGUUUUCAAUUUAUUUCUUAAACCAUAAAAUAUUUGUAAUUUACCAAAACAGUUGUUAAGGCUUAUGUCUUUUAUUAAAACAAGGCUCAAGCCAAAACUAAUCCUCGGGGAUACCUUGGCCGAGGUAUCUAACCGAGUCCGCCAAGGGUGUUAAAAUAUUCACACGUGAAACACAUAUUUUUUUUUUUAAACCAGCCGUUCCUUGGCGUUGGCCGAGUUACACAUUCACGUGGGGGUUCGACGUGAAGUGAGCUCUAAUACUACCCCGGGAGUUACCCUCCUCGCCUCUACAACCAGAGUAACUAUAUAACUGGGUUUAUCGUGCCCCUCUAAUAGGCAGUCCACGGAAACCCGUCACUGCAGUGACUAACCCACCAAUUUUAAUAAAAUUUUGACAGUAUAACGUGGCUUUUAUUUAUUUAUCCAGCCUGCAUAGUAAAAUCAACUUACAUAAAUUUCCCAAAUGCACUCACAAAAUAUAGCCACAUAUACUCAUUUCUCAUAAGCCAUUCCUAGGAAAAUAUAUAUUUUUCAAGUCAAUUUGCAGCCUCCAAUUACUCAAUUUCAUAAUCAAUACAAUAUAUUUUUAUUUGUCACAUUUAUUCCUAAAACAUCAAAAAUCCCGUUUUAAUCUCGUUCUCAUUUCAUAAAAUACAUAAAGGGCAUUUAAAAUAAACUCUAGAUAAUUUACAAUAAUAAUAAGUUUACUCACCGUUUGUACAAACUAAAAGCUUUC
rnacentral:lncRNA from 1 species